GGUUUUGUAAGUUAAAAAGACUAUUAAAUUGCAAAUUUAAAAGCACAUAUUUGUCAAAACUU
rnacentral:tRNA from 1 species